GGAGGGGAUGUGAUCCUGGUGGACACCCCGGGCUUCAAACCCGGUGGGGCGGCAGGUGACUGUCUGCCCGGAAGGUUCGAUUCCUUCCCCCUUCC
rnacentral:tRNA from 1 species